AGCUUCAAACAAUACUCUUCAUUUCUCAAUCCUUUCUUGAGUUGUUAAUUACAUUGUUCCUAUAUUUCAUUUUGACUAUGGCAAAAAUGGGUCCUGCUAAGUCCUCCCAAGUUGGAAUGGUGGUAGUUUUUGUAGCUGUCAUAUUUCUCAUGAUGUCUAUUCAGUUGGCUUCUGCAGCCUCUGAAUCUGAUGACACACUCCCAGUAUUUAAAUUCGGCAGGCGGCUUCUUCAGGUGUCCUAUGGGGGACCAGUGACGCCAUGGAGCAAAGCCCUCAAUGAUGAGAAGCCGUAAGUGAGAUGAGAUAUUUUGGGGUCUUAGCAAAAUUAUUCUCUAUUCAAUUCCUGCUGAGAUAUCAUUCGGUUCUAGCUCAACAAAUUGUGUCCCCAAGAAUAAGUUGAGAGACAAGUCGUUCAAAAUAUGUUUAUGGUAAUACGGAGUUUUAGAGUCAUGUGUUUAUUGGAUUUAUGUUCUUGUAUUGUGUAAGAUGUGUAAGGAAUUGUGUAAUUUUAAUUAAAUAAGAGACAUGUCAAGUUGUUAUUGGUCUGACGACUAUCUUUAUUA